GCCUCAAAUCAGGUAGGACUACCCGCUGAACUUAAGCAUAUCAAUAAGCGGAGGAAAAGAAACUAACAAGGAUUCCCCUAGUAACGGCGAGUGAAGCGGGAAGAGCUCAAAUUUAAAAUCUGGCGGCUUCGCCGUCCGAGUUGUAAUCUGAAGAAGCGUUUUCCGCGCCGGACCGUGUACAAGUCUCUUGGAACAGAGCUUCAUAGAGGGUGAGAGUCCCGUCCAUGACACGGACUGCCGGUGCUUUGUGAUACGCUCUCAAAGAGUCGAGUUGUUUGGGAAUGCAGCUCAAAA
rnacentral:rRNA from 1 species